rnacentral:rRNA from 1 species
GACGUAGGGUGCGAGCGUUUGUCCGGAUUUAUUGGGCGUAAAGAGCUCGUAGGCGGCUCGUCGCGUCGACCGUGAAAACCCGCAGCUUAACUGCGGGCCUGCGGUUGAUACGGGCGGGCUAGAGUUCGGUAGGGGAGACUGGAAUUCCUGGUGUAGCGGUGGAAAUGCGCAGAUAUCAGGAGGAACACCAGUAGCGAAGGCAGGCUC